CUACGGGAGGCAGCAGUGGGGAAUAUUGCACAAUGGGCGGAAGCCUGAUGCAGCAACGCCGCGUGCGGGAUGACGGCCUUCGGGUUGUAAACCGCUUUCGCCUGUGACGAAGCGUGAGUGACGGUAAUGGGUAAAGAAGCACCGGCUAACUACGUGCCAGCAGCCGCGGUGAUACGUAGGGUGCGAGCGUUGUCCGGAUUUAUUGGGCGUAAAGGGCUCGUAGGUGGUUGAUCGCGUCGGAAGUGUAAUCUUGGGGCUUAACCCUGAGCGUGCUUUCGAUACGGGUUGACUUGAGGAAGGUAGGGGAGAAUGGAAUUCCUGGUGGAGCGGUGGAAUGCGCAGAUAUCAGGAGGAACACCAGUGGCGAAGGCGGUUCUCUGGGCCUUUCCUGACGCUGAGGAGCGAAAGCGUGGGGAGCGAACAGGCUUAGAUACCCUGGUAGUCCACGCUGUAAACGGUGGGUACUAGGUGUGGGGUCCAUUCCACGGGUUCCGUGCCGUAGCUAACGCUUUAAGUACCCCGCCUGGGGAGUACGGCCGCAAGGCUAAAACUCAAAGGAAUGACG
rnacentral:rRNA from 1 species